rnacentral:rRNA from 1 species
UGCCUACGGGGGGCAGCAGUGGGGAAUAUUGCACAAUGGGGGAAACCCUGAUGCAGCGACGCCGCGUGAAGGAAGAAGUAUCUCGGUAUGUAAACUUCUAUCAGCAGGGAAGAAAACAGACGGUACCUGACUAAGAAGCCCCGGCUAACUACGUGCCAGCAGCCGCGGUAAUACGUAGGGGGCAAGCGUUAUCCGGAUUUACUGGGUGUAAAGGGGGCGCAGACGGCCAUGGCAAGCCCGGUGUGAAAGGCAGGGGCAUAACCCCUGGACUGCAUUGGGACUUGUCAGGCUGGAGUGCGUGGCGG